rnacentral:rRNA from 1 species
AUGGGGUCUAUUUUUAUAGAUGAUUUCUCUCGUUACACAUGGCUUUAUUUCAUGACUUCUCGUAGUGAGGUGUUGUCUAUUUAUAAGCGUUUUGCUGCCAUGGUUCAUACUCAGUUCUCUUCACCCAUUCGUAUUUUUCGUGCUGACUCCGCUGGCGAGUAUAUCUCUAAGAUGUUGCGUGGUGUCCUUGCUGAGCAGGGUACUCUUGCCCAGUUCUCUUGUCCUGGUGCUCAUGCUCAGAAUGGUGUGUCUGAGCGCAAGCAUCGUCACCUUCUUGAGACGGCUCGUGCGAUGAUGAUCGCCGCCUCUCUUCCGCCUCAUUUUUGGGCUGAGGCUAUCUCCACUUCCGCCUAUCUCAUCAACCUUCAGCCGUCCGCUGCUUUGCAGGGUGGUGUUCCUUUUGAGCGUCUUUUUGAUCGUUCUCCCGAUUAUUCGAUGCUUCGCUUGUUUGGUUGUGUUUGCUAUGUUCUUCUUGCCCCCCGCGAACGCACCAAACUGACCGCUCAGUUUGUUGAGUGUGUCUUCUUAGGCUACAGUGAUGAGCAUAAGGGCUAUCGUUGUUGGGAUUCUAUCGGUCGUCGGAUGCGUAUCUCUCGAGACGUGACUUUUGAUGAGUCUCGUCCCUUCUACCCACGCCCAUCUUCCUCGAUUUUUUUAGUGGAGGAUAUCUCUUUCCUCACUUUUCCUGACUCACCUAUCACCCCCGUCGCGCCUGUGCCUAUUCGUUCCACUUCCUCUGCUUCUCCACCUCUAGUCGAUUUGCAGCCACCAUCUUCUCCGGUCUCCUCGCCUAGCAUGUCACCGGAUUCUACACCUUCAUCUCCGGUGACUUCUUCGUCACCACCCCCGAUUCUACCUUGGCGAUUCCUCCUUCUAUUGUUUCAUCUUUUCCUCAGCAUUACACUCGUCGUUCACGACCUGUGGAUGCCUCAUUAG